rnacentral:lncRNA from 1 species
CGUUGAUUCCCAUUUUGGUUACACGACAUACCAAGCUUAUAUUGUAUUCUUUAUAUCAUAGAUAGAUAAUAACUAAAUAUAAUUUUCUUUUGCUUUAAUAUACAACCAAACUAGAACACGGUGAAAUCUUUCAAUUAUGUAAGGAGUUGAGAUGAAAGAAUGUUGAAACUUGCUUCGACAUAAAAGUAAGUUAUACUUAAUCAUUUAUUUUAUGCUUUUACGUUAGAUAUAAAUGGGGUGAUAGUUAUUCAUCUUUCAAUUAUGUAAGGAGUUGAGAUGAAAGAAUGUUGAAACUUGCUUCGACAUAAAAGUAAGUUAUACUUAAUCAUUUAUUUUAUGCUUUUACGUUAGAUAUAAAUGGGGUGAU